rnacentral:rRNA from 1 species
AUGGUUGUCCCUCUUCUCCGUUUCCUUCCCCUCUGUUUCUCUCCCUCACACAAGGAUUGCCUCUCCCCUUCUUCUACAGGAGCAGCCAUGGCCACCGGCCGCCGCGCCGCCCACCACGACGAGCUGCUCAGCACUCUGCUUGCCGCCGCGGGAAACGGCCGGGAGGAGGAGGAGGACGCGCGGGAGGCGCGGCAACGUCAGAAUCAACGCGUCGAAUCCGGCCUCGGCUUACGGCGACACGGACGUGGAGGCUCUGGCUGCGACCGCCGCGCUCUAUGCCCCGACCCUGCUCGCCGAGCCCUGCCUCUCCGGUUCUCCAUCCAUGUACGCUGUCGGGGACUUGCAGGUCCAAGCUUGCUGCUAUCAUCUUCAAUUUGCAGAAGAAAGUUGGGCCCUCACGGAGGGAAGGAAGGAUGUUUGCUAAUGUGGUUGGGUGGCUUUCUGUUUUUGGAAGGAGGAAGGUUUAUUCAGUCCAUCCUCCUGCCUCUCCCUGCACAAAAAAUGGUUCAUCCUUCAUUGGUAUGUUUGCAGCUAUGGAGGAGGUGA